rnacentral:rRNA from 1 species
GACGAACGCUGGCGGCGUGCCUAAUACAUGCAAGUCGAACGCAGUUGCGAACGGGUGAGUAACGCGUAGGUAACUUCCUCAUAGCGGGGGAUAACUAUUGAAAACGAUAGCUAAUACCGCAUACUGUCACAGGUACCUGGGUUUGAUUAGCUAGUUGGUGAGGUAAAGGCUCACCAAGGCGACGAUACAUAGCCGACCUGAGAGGGUGAUCGGCCACACUGGGACUGAGACACGGCCCAGACUCCUACGGGAGGCAGCAGUAGGGAAUAUUCGGCAAUGGACGGAAGUCUGACGGAGCAACGCCGCGUGAGUGAAGAAGGUUUUCGGAUCGUAAAACGCUGUUGUUAGAGAAGCGGUAUCUAACCAGAAAGCCACGGCUAACUACGUGCCAGCAGCCGCGGUAAUUC